rnacentral:rRNA from 1 species
CCUACGGGAGGCUGCAGUGGGGAAUAUUGCACAAUGGGGGAAACCCUGAUGCAGCGACGCCGCGUGAGUGAAGAAGCGUUUCGGCGCGUAAAGCUCUGUCAGCGGGGAAGAAACACGGUUCGCGAGAGCCGCGGACGGUACCCGACCAAGAAGCCCCGGCUAACUACGUGCCAGCAGCCGCGGUAAUACGGAGGAUGCGAGCGUUAUCCGGAUUUAUUGGGUUUAAAGGGUGCGCAGGCGGAGGCACAAGUCAGCGGUAAAAUCGCGGGGCUCAACCCCGCUCCGCCGUUGAAACUGUGUCCCUUGAGUGCGCGAAGGGUAGGCGGAAUGCGUGGUGUAGCGGUGAAAUGCAUAGAUAUCACGCAGAACUCCGAUCGCGAAGGCAGCCUACCGGCGCGCAACUGACGCUCAUGCACGAAAGCGUGGGUAUCGAACAGGAUUAGAUACCCGAGUAGUC